rnacentral:rRNA from 1 species
AUGAACGCUAGCUACAGGCUUAACACAUGCAAGUCGAGGGGCAGCAUGAGACGGAGAUUCGUCGAAGUCUUGAUGGCGACCGGCGCAAGGGUGCGUAACGCGUGAGCAACUUCGCCGUUCAGGGGGAUAACCGGUGGAAACGCCGACUAAUACCCCAUAGCACAUAUUUAAGGCAUCUUUUAUAUGUUAAAGAAUUUCGGAUGAGGAUAGGCUCGCGUGACAUUAGCUAGAUGGCGGGGUAACGGCCCACCAUGGCGACGAUGUCUAGGGGUUCUGAGAGGAAGGUCCCCCACACUGGAACUGAGACACGGUCCAGACUCCUACGGGAGGCAGCAGUGAGGAAUAUUGGUCAAUGGUCUGACGACUGAACCAGCCAUGCCGCGUGAAGGUCACGGCCCUAUGGGUCUUAAACUUCUUUUGUAAGGGAGCAAUAAGUCUCACGUGUGGGAUGAUGAGAGUACCUUACGAAUAAGCAUCGGCUAACUCCGUG